rnacentral:rRNA from 1 species
UACGUAGGGCGCAAGCGUUGUCCGGAAUUAUUGGGCGUAAAGAGCUCGUAGGCGGCUUGUCGCGUCGGAUGUGAAAGCCCGGGGCUUAACUCCGGGUCUGCAUUCGAUACGGGCAGGCUAGAGUGUGGUAGGGGAGAUCGGAAUUCCUGGUGUAGCGGUGAAAUGCGCAGAUAUCAGGAGGAACACCGGUGGCGAAGGCGGGUCUCUGGGCCGAAAUUGACGCUGAGGAGCGAAAGCGUGGGGAGCAAACAGG